rnacentral:rRNA from 1 species
UGCAGUCGAGCGGACAGAAGGGAGCUUGCUCCCGGAUGUUAGCGGCGGACGGGUGAGUAACACGUGGGUAACCUGCCUGUAAGACUGGGAUAACUCCGGGAAACCGGAGCUAAUACCGGAUAGUUCCUUGAACCGCAUGGUUCAAGGAUGAAAGACGGUUUCGGCUGUCACUUACAGAUGGACCCGCGGCGCAUUAGCUAGUUGGUGGGGUAAUGGCUCACCAAGGCGACGAUGCGUAGCCGACCUGAGAGGGUGAUCGGCCACACUGGGACUGAGACACGGCCCAGACUCCUACGGGAGGCAGCAGUAGGGAAUCUUCCGCAAUGGACGAAAGUCUGACGGAGCAACGCCGCGUGAGUGAUGAAGGUUUUCGGAUCGUAAAGCUCUGUUGUUAGGGAAGAACAAGUGCGAGAGUAACUGCUCGCACCUUGACGGUACCUAACCAGAAAGCCACGGCUAACUACGUGCCAGCAGCCGCGGUAAUACGUAGGUGGCAAGCGUUGUCCGGAAUUAUUGGGCGUAAAGGGCUCGCAGGCGGUUUCUUAAGUCUGAUGUGAAAGCCCCCGGCUCAACCGGGGAGGGUCAUUGGAAACUGGGAAACUUGAGUGCAGAAGAGGAGAGUGGAAUUCCACGUGUAGCGGUGAAAUGCGUAGAGAUGUGGAGGAACACCAGUGGCGAAGGCGACUCUCUGGUCUGUAACUGACGCUGAGGAGCGAAAGCGUGGGGAGCGAACAGGAUUAGAUACCCUGGUAGUCCACGCCGUAAACGAUGAGUGCUAAGUGUUAGGGGGUUUCCGCCCCUUAGUGCUGCAGCUAACGCAUUAAGCACUCCGCCUGGGGAGUACGGUCGCAAGACUGAAACUCAAAGGAAUUGACGGGGGCCCGCACAAGCGGUGGAGCAUGUGGUUUAAUUCGAAGCAACGCGAAGAACCUUACCAGGUCUUGACAUCCUCUGACAACCCUAGAGAUAGGGCUUUCCCUUCGGGGACAAAAUGACAGGUGGUGCAUGGUUGUCGUCAACUCCUGUCCUGAGAAGUUUGGGUUAAUUCCCCCACCAAGGCCACCC